rnacentral:lncRNA from 1 species
GAGAAUCCACAGUUUCUUUUGAGUGAGAACCACCUAAUAUUCUAUCCUUCGUCUCUCUCGUUCCCUCUCUCUCCACCCAAUCCGCACGCCAAGAAGGGCAGCGGCAGCGAGCUGGUAGCCGGUAGCAGCCGCCAGUCGGUGGGGCCGUGCUCAAGCGUUCCCGUGCAGGCCAUGGCUACCGGCCUAGCGCAGGCGAUGACAACGCCCACAGCAAGGCCGCUGCACGGGCCAGGGGUUGCACGCUGUGCGCGAGGCCAAGCCACCGGGCGACACGGGCAGUGACGACCAUGACAAGGCUCACGUGCAGCUGUGAGGCUUCCGCGUGCAACGACAUCAGAGCAAGCACGAGCAAACUACCACGAGGCCGCGAGUAGCGGCGACAAGGUGCGCAGGGGAAGAGGCAGAACUCCCAUCCCGUCCUCUUCUCUCCAUCUUCUCGCUCAGAUAAUCUCUCCAAACAGUGAUUGCAAAUUGGAAUGUAAUGCAUAUACAGGUUAGCAAAUCUAAACUAGAUUUUGCAUAUUUCGUUGCGAGAUCCGGUCCAAUUUCCUUGCUUCGAUUUGACUUGAUUUAUUCCCGCUUCUGUUUUGUUUGCUCUAUCUUACUAUUACUGAGGCUCCUUUUGAAGCCUCCAGGUGAAGUGACUUAGGAUCCUAGGUGGACACUCUAGAAAAAGAGAGAAAUCCAAGAAAUUCUAAAAAAAAGCAAAAAAUCUAGCCAUCAAUCAGUAGACUCAAAUUAUCAUAGCUAUUGGAUCUAUCAUGUUUUCUAAAAAAGUACCCACCUAUACCAUUAUAUAAAAUAUACUCAAAUAACCCCCUAAUCUUCAUCAAAAUUACCCACUUUCACCAUUAUAAAAAAUAAUUUAAAAUAACACCCUAAAUCUGCAACUAAAUUACUCACCACUAAUAUUAUAAAAAAUAACUUACUUAACCCCUUAAAUUUCCAUCAAAAUUA